UCCCAUUCGACACGGGCAGUCUGGCUAGAGUGCAUCCUUUCGGAUUAGCAACUAACCACAAGGGUUUCGCUCGUUACGGGACUUAACCCAACAUCUCACGACACGAGCUGACGACAGCCAUGCAACACCUGAUGAAUGCUCCCCUUGCGGGGUCGUUACCGUUUCCGGUUUCUACCACAUCCACUUCAAGCCCGGGUAAGGUUCUUCGCGUUGCAUCGAAUUGAACCACAUGCUCCACCGCUUGUGCGAGCCCCCGUCAAUUCCUUUGAGUUUUAAUCUUGCGACCGUACUCCCCAGGCGGCAGACUUAAUGCGUUAGCUGCAGCAGAGAGAGGUGAACCCCCCUCCACUUAGUCUGCAUCGUUUACGGCUAGGACUAC
rnacentral:misc_RNA from 1 species